AAGUCGUAACAAGGUUUCCGUAGGUGAACCUGCGGAAGGAUCAUUAUUGAAUAAACCAUGGCGGGCAGUCUUGCUGGCCUUUUCCCUCCUCCAGGGAGGAGAGAGGGCAUGUGCACGCUCGUCAAAAGUUUCAUUCGCAUACCCCUUUCCACCUGUGCACACACUGUAGGUCCCGUUAGAAGGGGGGGAGCCUUGGGCCGUCCCCUUUUUCGGACCUACGUUUUACAACCCUACCCCCUCGAAUAUGAUACGAACGUAGUGACUUGGGCCACCGCGCCUAAUAAAACAUAAUACAACUUUCAACAACGGAUCUCUUGGCUCUC
rnacentral:misc_RNA from 1 species